AGUGAACGCUGGCGGUAGGCCUAACACAUGCAAGUCGAACGGCAGCACAGUAAGAGCUUGCUCUUACGGGUGGCGAGUGGCGGACGGGUGAGGAAUACAUCGGAAUCUACUUUUUCGUGGGGGAUAACGUAGGGAAACUUACGCUAAUACCGCAUACGACCUACGGGUGAAAGCAGGGGAUCUUCGGAUCUUGCGCGAUUGAAUGAGCCGAUGUCGGAUUAGCUAGUUGGCGGGGUAAAGGCCCACCAAGGCGACGAUCCGUAGCUGGUCCGAGAGGAUGAUCAGCCACACUGGAACUGAGACACGGUCCAGACUCCUACGGGAGGCAGCAGUGGGGAAUAUUGGACAAUGGGCGCAAGCCUGAUCCAGCCAUACCGCGUGGGUGAAGAAGGCCUUCGGGUUGUAAAGCCCUUUUGUUGGGAAAGAAAAGCAGCAGGUUAAUACCCCGCUGUUCUGACGGUACCCAAAGAAUAAGCACCGGCUAACUUCGUG
rnacentral:rRNA from 1 species